rnacentral:lncRNA from 1 species
UCUCUUCUCUCCUCAUUUCUAUUGCUCGUCCUGGAUAGUUUGUGUCUCUUCAACCUCGUCAAGACACAACAAUAUGAGUCCCACAACAUACGAAUUUUGAUUAAGAUACGAGCUGGUCCAGUAUUGGCGACGGAAAGGAACGAAUGGGGUGAAAGAUGUAAAAAAAACGUGAUUCAAAAUAAUCCAAGAGAUUGAGCGUCAUACUCGGGCCCUAGAAAACUGAAUACAUAUAUCAUAAAUAUAAUAUAUUUAUCAAGAAAGUUUGUUCCUAGGUAUAAAAAACAUGGUCCACAACGUAUCAGUACCAUAGAAAAAAUAUUUGCUUAGUUCCAGAAGAGUUAUAUUGAUAUUCUUCAUAAUAAUAUAAUUUUUAAGCGUAAGAUUUCAAUUACAGAUUUUGAAUAUCUUAUCUAUAAAGCAGAUAUUUCUAAAAGUGGAACCUUUAAAAAUAAUUUUUUUAUAUUAGUUUGCUCGAACCCCAUUAAAUUCGUAAGUUACUCUCUAUAUUUAAUCCGUGGCUAUAAAGUCAUAUUAUGAUUUCAAUAUCAGCUUACCGAAAGAAGUUGAUUAGUAAACUUUUUUUUAUCCCAUCGGAGUCGAUCAGUGUGGACUAUCAUUUCUCAAGUUGGAAUUAAUUGCAGAUUAUUAGUAUAAGAAAAACAAACUAAUGUGACGUCAUACCCCUUUUGCCAGAUGAUACCUUUGUCAAACAUUUACACAUCUUGUUGUCUCUAUCUAUUUCUUUCUUUAUGUAAAAUGACAAAUGUAUAGCUACGCUUUUAAUAAACUAUGACAUUAAUACAGUAGUAGACUUAGUUAAUGUAUAUUAUUUAAAUACUUUGAUGUGAAGAAACAAGUUUGAAAUUAACAUCUACUUUUUAAUAUGUAGGUGUUUAUCCCAAAUAUUUUGAAUACAAGCACCUUGAGAUAUUGAAAUGUAGCUGAUUCUGAUUCAUGUAGCAAUUAUUUUGUAAUUCACAAAUGGAAUUAAUUCAUGAUUGGAUCAUGUCUAAUAGUAUAUAUGUUACAAAAUGCAGAAUUACGGAGAGAAAAAAACUUGCGGGAGGCUGUGCUGAAAUAUAAAAGUUUUUUGGGAAUCCCCAUAGAAAUGCUGAAUUUUCAUUACUUAAAAGCGGAAAAUCAAUUUGACAUCCCUCAUGCUUAAUGUAGAUAAAUUCUUAAUCUUUCACCCUGUUAAAAAAAUAUAUGAGUCCGUUGCUUCGGUUUAGUGCAAAAUUUGCUGGAAAAUAAGUCAUCUGAAGAUAGCCUUCAAAAUCACAAAUAAUGUGAAAUUGAUUAAAUAAAAGUCUUCGUUUUCUGGUACUAUUGGUGCAUCAGAUGCCAAGUCAAUAAACAUUAUGUUCUAAAGAGUUUAUUUCGUUAUAAUAAUGUUAUCAACCACAAAUGGAUGUAUGAAAUUGACUUCCUCUCUGAAUAACUAUUCUCAAAAUAAUAAUUAACAGUUAGCACCAAGAAAAAUGCAGAAGAAAAUACAGAUUUUUGAAAGUCGAAAACCGACUUUACAGAAUGUAUUUGAAAUCAUUUGAGAGAAUAUUAUUACAAUCCAAUAAUUAAAUACAUCUUUUCAUAAAUGAAGAUUCGGUUCAUGCGAGACGUGUGUUGUAUUUGUAACUCUUAUUUCAAUUUUUAAUGAUUUUUUAUCUUUUUUUUAAGAAUUAUUCUCAUCAUGUGUGUACCUGUUUGAUAAAAAAUAUAAUAUAUACAAU